GACGAACGCUGGCGGCGUGCCUAAUACAUGCAAGUAGGACGCAGUUGCGAACGGGUGAGUAACGCGUAGGUAACUACCUAUUAGAGGGGGCUAACUAUUGGAAACGAUAGCUAAUACCGCAUACUAGUAGAUGGACCUGCGUUGUAUUAGGUAGUAGGUAGGGUAAUGGCCUACCUAGGCAACGAUACAUAGCCGGCCGGGAGGGGGGGACGGCCAAACUGGGAAUGGGACACGGCCCAGACUCCUACGGGAGGGAGCAGUAGGGGAACUUCGGCAAUGGGGGGAAAGCUGGCCGAGCAACGCCGCGGGAGUGAAGAAGGUUUUCGGAUCGUAAAGCUCUGUUGUUAAGGAAGCGGUACUUAACCAGAAAGGGACGGCUAACUACGUGCCAGCAGCCGCGGUAAUAC
rnacentral:rRNA from 1 species